GACGAACGCUGGCGGCGUGCUUAACACAUGCAAGUCGAACGGAAAGGCCCCAGCUUGCUGGGGUACUCGAGUGGCGAACGGGUGAGUAACACGUGGGUGAUCUGCCCUGCACUCUGGGAUAAGCCUGGGAAACUGGGUCUAAUACCGGAUAGGACCGUGCUUUAGUGUGUGCGGUGGAAAGUUUUUCGGUGCAGGAUGAGCCCGCGGCCUAUCAGCUUGUUGGUGGGGUAAUGGCCUACCAAGGCGGCGACGGGUAGCCGGCCUGAGAGGGUGUACGGCCACAUGGGGACUGAGACACGGCCCAGACUCCUACGGGAGGCAGCAGUGGGGAAUAUUGCACAAUGGGCGCAAGCCUGAUGCAGCGACGCCGCGUGGGGGAUGGCGGCCUUCGUGGUGUAAACCCCUUUCGGCAGGGACGAAUCUUUUGUGACGGUACCGGCAUAAGAAGCACCGGCUAACUACGU
rnacentral:rRNA from 1 species